rnacentral:rRNA from 1 species
GUUAGGAAUAUUGGACAAUGGGCGCAAGCCUGAUCCAGCCAUGCCGCGUGAGUGAUGAAGGCCUUCGGGUUGUAAAGCUCUUUAGCCGAUGAUUAUAAUGACUGUAGUCGGAAAAUAAGCCCCGGCUAACUUCGUGCCAGCAGCCGCGGUAAUACGAAGGGGGCGAGCGUUAUUCGGAAUCACUGGGCGUAAAGCGUGCGUAGGCGGCUUUGCAAGUUGGGAGUGAAAGCCCAGGGCUCAACCCUGGCAUUGCUCUCAAAACUGCAAGGCUAGAAUUCGGGAGAGGAUAGUGGAAUUGUCAGUGUAGCAGUGAAAUGCGUAGAUAUUGACAGGAACACCAGUGGCGUAAGCGGCUAUCUGGACCGAUAUUGACGCUGAGGCACGAAAGCGUGGGGAUCAAACAGGAUUAGAAACCCGAGUAGUCC